rnacentral:lncRNA from 1 species
AGACGCUCCUCGAACCUUCCAGAAUUUGUUGCGGCGCAAGGGGAAAGAGAGGCAGAAACCCUAGGGUUUCAUGCCUCGGUAUAAUGGUUUGGGCCAGUUGGGCCACUGUUGUUUGGGUCUAAUUUAGGUCUGCUGAGUAGUAACCGGGUAAAUGGUUUUUUGGGCUAAUUGGGUUACAGGUGUAACGGCUUUGGGCUUAUCAGGCUUUGAGGCCUGUUUAUUUGUAAAUGGACUUUAAU